UGAGUUUCUUAUACAAAAAACGUGAUAUUUAAUGGAGGUUAUUCUGCGGGGGUUAUAAAAACCCUCCACAUAUUACUAUUAUUUAAAAUGAUUCUGGUGAGUUGUCUUAGUGUCAAUAAAUGCAGAGGUUUUAAUUAUAGUUUGAGGAGGUUACAAAAAAUUAUAAUAGAUUUUUAAUUCUUCCCUUUUUUUUUUUUCUUUCCCUCCCAAGAUUUUCCACUCACUUUACUUUUUCCCCAAUUUCAAAAUCUGAGCGCGAGUUCUCAAAAGAUAAAUGCCUUUUGGUUUUUGUUUUUGUUUUUGUUUUCCUUUCACCUUCCCCAUCAUGAAACCAUCACAGGUGCUCCAAUCGCUCGUCGGCUGGUGCUCGUCGGACAUUGCUAGUCUCCCGAUGCUUGUCUAUCAUGAAUGUUAUAUCUAAAGCUACAACAAUCGUCGUUUUUCCUUGGCUAAAUUUCCCAACCACUCAGCUUCCCAGAAUAAAUUGUAGCCACUCCGCUUUCGAAGUAUGCUCUUCUCCAAUUACUCUACGGCAUUUGCUUUACCACUCUACGGCUAUGUUUGACAUCUACUAUGCGUCGCAUAGAAGUUUCGACGUUGCACUUUGUACACCUAGUUUGCACAUGUUCCAACAAAAAUUAGUGAAGUUCAAAAACACGGUUUAAAGUGGUUUGAAAGCAAGAGAUAUAUUGAUUUGAAAGAUGAAACUGAAACAAGAUGAUGUUUUGUAGUGAUUUUGUUUACGUCAUCAACAUUAGAGUAUGUGUUUUCAAUUGGUCUAGUUGUUUUCAACCAUGUUAGAUUUUUUAGUCAAUCUUGUAAUGUUCC